UGACGGGGGCUCACACAAGCGGUGGAGGAUGUGGCUUAAUUCGAGGAUACGCGAAGAACCUUAUCCUGGUCUUGACAUGUACGGAUGGGCUGCCUGAAAGGGAUAGUCCCUGCCUUCGGGUGAAACGUACACAGGUGCUGCAUGGCCGUCGUCAGCUCGUGUCGUGAGAUGUCGGGUUAAGUCCCUUAACGAGCGAAACCCUUGUUCCUAGUUGCCAGCACAUAAUGGUGGGGACUCUAGGGAGACUGCCGGUGUUAAACCGGAGGAAGGUGGGGAUGACGUCAGGUCCUCAUGGCCUUUAUGACCAGGGCUGCACACGUCCUACAAUGCGGUGUACAGAGGGAAGCAAACUCGCGAGAGCAAGCAAAUCCCAAAAAGCACCGCCCAGUUCGGAUUGCAGGCUGCAACUCGCCUGCAUGAAGCCGGAAUCGCUAGUAAUCGUGGGUCAGCAUACCACGGUGAAUAUGUUCCUGAGCCUUGUACACACCGCCCGUCAAGCCACGAAAGUGGGGGGCAUCCGAAGUCGCCAAGCUAACCGUAAGGAGGCAGGCGCCUAAGAUGAACUCUGCGAUUGGGACUAAGUCGUAACAAGGUAGCCGUAGGGGAACCUGCGGCUG
rnacentral:rRNA from 1 species